rnacentral:rRNA from 1 species
UGGGGAAUAUUGCGCAAUGGGCGAAAGCCUGACGCAGCGACGCCGCGUGAGGGACGACGGCCCUUGGGUUGUAAACCUCUUUCAGCAGGGAAGAAGGGAAACUGACGGUACCUGCAGAAGAAGCACCGGCUAACUACGUGCCAGCAGCCGCGGUAAUACGUAGGGUGCAAGCGUUGUCCGGAUUUAUUGGGCGUAAAGAGCUCGUAGGCGGUUUGCUACGUCGGAUGUGAAAACCCGGGGCUCAACCCCGGGCCUGCAUUCGAUACGGGCAGACUCGAGUGUGGUAGGGGAGACUGGAACUCCUGGUGUAGCGGUGAAAUGCGCAGAUAUCAGGAAGAACACCGGUGGCGAAGGCGGGUCUCUGGGCCAUUACUGACGCUGAGGAGCGAAAGCGUGGGGA